rnacentral:rRNA from 1 species
AUGCCUAGGAAUCUGCCUGGUAGUCGGGGGACAACGUUUCGAAAGGAACGCUAAUACCGCAUACGUCCUACGGGAGAAAGCAGGGGACCUUCGGGCCUUGCGCUAUCAGAUGAGCCUAGGUCGGAUUAGCUAGUUGGUGAGGUAAUGGCUCACCAAGGCGACGAUCCGUAACUGGUCUGAGAGGAUGAUCAGUCACACUGGAACUGAGACACGGUCCAGACUCCUACGGGAGGCAGCAGUGGGGAAUAUUGGACAAUGGGCGAAAGCCUGAUCCAGCCAUGCCGCGUGUGUGAAGAAGGUCUUCGGAUUGUAAAGCACUUUAAGUUGGGAGGAAGGGUUGUAAAUUAAUACUCUGCAGUUUUGACGUUACCGACAGAAUAAGCACCGGCUAACUCUGUGCCAGCAGCCGCGGUAAUACAGAGGGUGCAAGCGUUAAUCGGAAUUACUGGGCGUAAAGCGCGCGUAGGUGGUUUGUU